rnacentral:misc_RNA from 1 species
GAUGAAGAACGUAGCGAAAUGCGAUACGUAAUGUGAAUUGCAGAAUUCAGUGAAUCAUCGAGUCUUUGAACGCACAUUGCGCCCCCUGGUAUUCCGGGGGGCAUGCCUGUCCGAGCGUCAUUUCACCACUCAAGCCUGGCUUGGUGUUGGGCGACGUCCCCUUUGGGGACGCGCCUCGAAACGCUCGGCGGCGUGGCACCGGCUUUAAGCGUAGCAGAAUCUUUCGCUUUGGAAGUCGGGGCCCCGUCUGCCGGAAGACCUACUCGCAAGGUUGACCUCGGAUCAGGCAGGGAUACCCGCUGAACUUAAGCAUAUCAAUAAGCGGAGGA